AACGAACGCUGGCGGCAUGCCCAACACAUGCAAGUCGAACGAGACCUUCGGGUCUAGUGGCGCACGGGUGCGUAACGCGUGGGAACCUGCCCUUAGGUUCGGAAUAACUCCCCGAAAGGGGUGCUAAUACCGGAUAAUGUCUUCGGACCAAAGAUUUAUCGCCUUUGGAUGGGCCCGCGUUGGAUUAGCUAGUUGGUAGGGUAAAAGCCUACCAAGGCGACGAUCCAUAGCUGGUCUGAGGGGAUGAUCAGCCACACUGGGACUGAGACACGGCCCAGACUCCUACGGGAGGCAGCAGUGGGGAAUAUUGGACAAUGGGCGAAAGCCUGAUCCAGCAAUGCCGCGUGAGUGAUGAAGGCCUUAGGGUUGUAAAGCUCUUUUACCCGGGAUGAUAAUGACAGUACCGGGAGAAUAAGCUCCGGCUAACUCCGUG
rnacentral:rRNA from 1 species